GCCGGGUGUGGUAGUGCAUACCUGUAAUCCAGCAAUUUGGAGGCUGAGGCAGGAGGAUUGCACAUUCAAAACCAGUCUUAG
rnacentral:sRNA from 1 species